rnacentral:rRNA from 1 species
UACGUAGGGUGCGAGCGUUGUCCGGAUUUAUUGGGCGUAAAGAGCUCGUAGGCGGUUCGGUAAGUCGGGUGUGAAACCUCCAGGCUCAACCUGGAGAGGCCACCUGAUACUGCUGUGACUCGAGUCCGGUAGGGGAGCGUGGAAUUCCUGGUGUAGCGGUGAAAUGCGCAGAUAUCAGGAGGAACACCAGCGGCGAAGGCGGCGCUCUGGGCCGGAACUGACGCUGAGGGAGCGAAAGCGUGGGUAGCAAACAGG